AUGAAGAACGAAUCCUACUCUAUCGUGUCUUGGAAUGUUCGUGGAUUAGGUGAAAAUGGCAAAUGUGCCAAUGUGUUCUCUGAAAUCAACCAGUUGCGCCCAUCAAUCGCUUUGCUCCAAGAAACUAAGUUACACAAACCGGACACCAUCAAACUGCGCUCUAUCUUGCCACAUUUCCUUGACUCAAACAACCACCUCGACGCAAUCGGAUCUGCGGGAAGAAUUCUUUCGGCCACUAACUCACGAUGCUUUACGCUUCUUAACUGUCAACAUAGGCGUUUUACCUCCACCCUAACUCUCUCAUGCCUUGCCUCGCAAUACAAUAUCUUUAUCACAAACGUCUAUGCCCCUCGAAGGGACCUAAAAUAUGAAUUCCUCGACAAACUUAAACAACUCGAACCACCACCUAAAUCUCCUUGGCUCCUCAUCGGAGAUUUCAACCUAAUCCGCUUCCCUAAUGAAAGGAACAACAACAAUUUUUGCCGAUCUGAGGCCGAUGCCUUCAAUGACACCAUUGAUCAACUCGCACUCCUCGAGCUCCCUCUUCUGGACCGCCAAUUUACUUGGUCAAAUAAAAGGACGUCACCUACGCUAAUAUGGCUAGAUAGAGUUCUUAUAAACCUGUCUUGGGAUGCGCUCUUCCCCAACUCGCACCUCACCUCUCUUACUCGAUUUGCCUCCGAUCACGUACCGCUCCUGGUUAUUAUCUCCACAACUAUUCCUUCCUCCCGCCUUUUUCGGUUUGAACGUUACUGA
rnacentral:rRNA from 1 species